GAUGAUACGCGAGGAACCUUACCCGGGCUUAAAUUGCAACCGGAUAUGGCGGAAACGCCAUAGCUAGCAAUAGCGGUUGUGAAGGUGCUGCAUGGUUGUCGUCAGCUCGUGCCGUGAGGUGUCGGCUUAAGUGCCAUAACGAGCGCAACCCUUGCCGAUAGUUACUAACAGGUCAUGCUGAGGACUCUGUCGGGACUGCCAUCGUAAGAUGUGAGGAAGGUGGGGAUGACGUCAAAUCAGCACGGCCCUUACGUCCGGGGCUACACACGUGUUACAAUGGGGGGUACAGAGGGCUGCUACCACGCAAGUGGAUGCCAAUCCCAAAAACCUCUCUCAGUUCGGAUUGAAGUCUGCAACCCGACUUCAUGAAGCUGGAUUCGCUAGUAAUCGCGCAUCAGCCACGGCGCGGUGAAUACGUUCCCGGGCCUUGUACACACCGCCCGUCAAGCCAUGGGAGCCGGGGGUACCUGAAGUGCGUAACCGCAAGGAGCGCCCUAGGGUAAAACUGGUGACUGGGGCUAAGUCGUAACAAGGUAGCCG
rnacentral:rRNA from 1 species